rnacentral:rRNA from 1 species
AUUGAACGCUGGCGGCAGGCCUAACACAUGCAAGUCGAGCGAGCGGCGGACGGGUGAGUAAUGUCUGGGAAACUGCCUGAUGGAGGGGGAUAACUACUGGAAACGGUAGCUAAUACCGCAUACCAUCGGAUGUGCCCAGAUGGGAUUAGCUAGUAGGUGGGGUAACGGCUCACCUAGGCGACGAUCCCUAGCUGGUCUGAGAGGAUGACCAGCCACACUGGAACUGAGACACGGCCCAGACUCCUACGGGAGGCAGCAGUGGGGAAUAUUGCGCAAUGGGGGCAAGCCUGAGGCAGCCAUGCCGCGUGAAUGAAGAAGGCCUUCGGGUUGUAAAGUACUUUCGGUAGCGAGGCGUUACCUACAGAAGAAGCACCGGCUAACUCCGUGCCAGCAGCCGCGGUAAUUC